AUGCUUGCUACGGCGGCACAUAUACUAAAAUUGGAUCGAUACAGAGAAGAUUAGCAUGGCCCCAGCGAAAGGAUGACAUGCAAAUCCAUGAAGCGCUCCAUCUUUUG
rnacentral:snRNA from 12 species